UGCUGCGGUGGAAGGGAUUGCGAGCCUUCCUUUGGCCCUUUCCCGGUUGUCCUCUAGGAGAACAAAUGGUCUUGCUAUUUGAGCAACGUUAGCUAAGGAAUCUGAGGCUAGAGUUCACUCCCCGCUUCUCCUAUUUUAGCCGCUGGCAGCCGCUAGGGGGCGCAGCGGCGGGACUGGAGUCAGCAAGCUGUGGCUUCGAAUUCGGCCUCUGACACUAGCGAGUGGUGUAACCCUGGGCAGGUCGCCUCUGUUUCUUCAGCUGAAAAGCGAAGAUAAUGUCACCUACCUACUGCAGCACAUGAUCGACUCCUCAACCUGACAUAUAAGUUUUUCUACCUUAGCAAAGAUUUCAUUAUCAGCUGACAACCUUCGAUCACAUGGUAUCCGUCUGACGUCAUCCCCGCGCGGAAGAAACUGCAGAGCCCGGGGGCGUAGUUGCUCUGUGCCCGGAAAUAAGAUGGCUGCUACCAGAAUAGGGAAAUUUUCCUAGAGGUGAACUAAGCCUUUGCCCAUUUGGGAUUGCUGCGAGCUCGGCAUGGGGCCCGUUAGCCGCCGCACUUUGAACUACAUUUAUUCGAUGGUGCUGCUGGCCAUCGUUUUCCUCUCCUGGGGAUUCGUGAUCUAUGCGUGCAUGGUGACGUCACAGUGGCUGCUGGUAAAAAACCAUCCAGAUGUAACAUUCCAUUUCUGGAUCUGAAGGAAUGUAACUGGCAUUCGACAUCCUUAUCGGGCACCUUGUUUUGGACGUUAUUUAGUUAAAUAAAAACUAUAAUGAAGCAUUUUGUUUUCAUUAUUCGGGGAGAAAGGGGCUAAAAUAGUACAUACAAAUAUUUCUCCUCGCGAU
rnacentral:lncRNA from 1 species